UACGUAGGGUGCAAGCGUUGUCCGGAAUUAUUGGGCGUAAAGAGCUCGUAGGCGGUCUGUCGCGUCGGAUGUGAAAACCCAGGGCUCAACCCUGGGCCUGCAUUCGAUACGGGCAGACUAGAGUUCGGUAGGGGAGACUGGAAUUCCUGGUGUAGCGGUGAAAUGCGCAGAUAUCAGGAGGAACACCAGCGGCGAAGGCGGCGCUCUGGGCCGGUACUGACGCUGAGGAGCGAAAGCGUGGGUAGCAAACAGG
rnacentral:rRNA from 1 species